AAAUUGAAGAGUUUGAUCAUGGCUCAGAUUGAACGCUGGCGGCAGGCCUAACACAUGCAAGUCGAACGGUAACAGGAAGCAGCUUGCUGCUUCGCUGACGAGUGGCGGACGGGUGAGUAAUGUCUGGGAAACUGCCUGAUGGAGGGGGAUAACUACUGGAAACGGUGGCUAAUACCGCAUAACGUCGCAAGACCAAAGAGGGGGACCUUCGGGCCUCUUGCCAUCAGAUGUGCCCAGAUGGGAUUAGCUAGUUGGUGAGGUAACGGCUCACCAAGGCGACGAUCCCUAGCUGGUCUGAGAGGAUGACCAGCCACACUGGAACUGAGACACGGUCCAGACUCCUACGGGAGGCAGCAGUGGGGAAUAUUGCACAAUGGGCGCAAGCCUGAUGCAGCCAUGCCGCGUGUAUGAAGAAGGCCUUCGGGUUGUAAAGUACUUUCAGCGGGGAGGAAGGUGUUGUGGUUAAUAACCGCAGCAAUUGACGUUACCCGCAGAAGAAGCACCGGCUAACUCCGUGCCAGCAGCCGCGGUAAUACGGAGGGUGCAAGCGUUAAUCGGAAUUACUGGGCGUAAAGCGCACGCAGGCGGUCUGUCAAGUCGGAUGUGAAAUCCCCGGGCUCAACCUGGGAACUGCAUUCGAAACUGGCAGGCUUGAGUCUUGUAGAGGGGGGUAGAAUUCCAGGUGUAGCGGUGAAAUGCGUAGAGAUCUGGAGGAAUACCGGUGGCGAAGGCGGCCCCUGGACAAAGACUGACGCUCAGGUGCGAAAGCGUGGGGAGCAAACAGGAUUAGAUACCCUGGUAGUCCACGCCGUAAACGAUGUCUACUUGGAGGUUGUGCCCUUGAGGCGUGGCUUCCGGAGCUAACGCGUUAAGUAGACCGCCUGGGGAGUACGGCCGCAAGGUUAAAACUCAAAUGAAUUGACGGGGGCCCGCACAAGCGGUGGAGCAUGUGGUUUAAUUCGAUGCAACGCGAAGAACCUUACCUGGUCUUGACAUCCACAGAACUUUCCAGAGAUGGAUUGGUGCCUUCGGGAACUGUGAGACAGGUGCUGCAUGGCUGUCGUCAGCUCGUGUUGUGAAAUGUUGGGUUAAGUCCCGCAACGAGCGCAACCCUUAUCCUUUGUUGCCAGCGGUUAGGCCGGGAACUCAAAGGAGACUGCCAGUGAUAAACUGGAGGAAGGUGGGGAUGACGUCAAGUCAUCAUGGCCCUUACGACCAGGGCUACACACGUGCUACAAUGGCGCAUACAAAGAGAAGCGACCUCGCGAGAGCAAGCGGACCUCAUAAAGUGCGUCGUAGUCCGGAUUGGAGUCUGCAACUCGACUCCAUGAAGUCGGAAUCGCUAGUAAUCGUGGAUCAGAAUGCCACGGUGAAUACGUUCCCGGGCCUUGUACACACCGCCCGUCACACCAUGGGAGUGGGUUGCAAAAGAAGUAGGUAGCUUAACCUUCGGGAGGGCGCUUACCACUUUGUGAUUCAUGACUGGGGUGAAGUCGUAACAAGGUAACCGUAGGGGAACCUGCGGUUGGAUCACCUCAUUA
rnacentral:rRNA from 1 species